rnacentral:misc_RNA from 1 species
GAUGAAGAACGUAGCGAAAUGCGAUACUUGGUGUGAAUUGCAGAAUCCCGUGAACCAUCGAGUCUUUGAACGCAAGUUGCGCCCGAAGCCACUAGGCCGAGGGCACGCCUGCCUGGGCGUCACACGCCGUUGCCCCCCCAUCUACUCCUUCGGGAUUGCGGGGGGGCGGAUGAUGGCCUCCUGUGCGCCUAGCCGCGCGGUUGGCAUAAAUACCAAGUCCUCAGCGACGCACGCCACGACAAUCGGUGGUUGCGAAACCUCGGUUGCCCGUCGUGUGCGUUCGUCGCGCAUCGAGGGCUCGAAAAAAUGCUCGGCUCCGGCUGGGCUUUCAACGCGACCCCAGGUCAGGCGGGGUUACCCGCUGAAUUUAAGCAUAUCAAUAAGCGGAGGA